rnacentral:rRNA from 1 species
CGGGACGGGUGAGUAAUGUCUAGGGAAACUGCCUGAGGAGGGGGAAUAACUACUGGAAACGGUAGCUAAUACCGCAUAACGUCGCAAGACCAAAGAGGGGGACCUUCGGGCCUCUUGCCAUCGGAUGUGCCCAGAUGGGAUUAGCUAGUAGGUGGGGUAACGGCUCACCUAGGCGACGAUCCCUAGCUGGUCUGAGAGGAUGACCAGCCACACUGGAACUGAGACACGGUCCAG